UGCAGUCAGUGACACAACGUACGUGAGAGUAGAGCGUGUUUAAAUUUUUUUGUUGCUGUUUUGUGUCGUGUAGUGCCGUCGUCGUUCGUAUCGACGUAUUUGUAAGUGCGCGUAGCCCCAAAAUAGUUGUAAAUGCCGUCGCUAUUUCAUAUAAAUGUACAAAUGUUGCAUAUGAUAAAUUAUGUUAUUUAUUAAAAUUUGUAGCCGCACAGCGGUGAUUAAAAAAGGCAACGAUUUGGGCAACAGUAGCAGUACCAACAACAACAGCAACAUUAAAUGCCACAAAUCAGUACAAUAGUGGCAUGCGAACACUAAAGA